AUUGAACGCUGGCGGCAUGCCUUACACAUGCAAGUCGAACGGCAGCACGGGAGCAAUCCUGGUGGCGAGUGGCGAACGGGUGAGUAAUAUAUCGGAACGUGCCCAGUCGUGGGGGAUAACGUAGCGAAAGCUACGCUAAUACCGCAUACGAUCUAUGGAUGAAAGCGGGGGAUCGCAAGACCUCGCGCGAUUGGAGCGGCCGAUAUCAGAUUAGGUAGUUGGUGAGGUAAAGGCUCACCAAGCCGACGAUCUGUAGCUGGUCUGAGAGGACGACCAGCCACACUGGGACUGAGACACGGCCCAGACUCCUACGGGAGGCAGCAGUGGGGAAUUUUGGGACAAUGGGCGCAAGCCUGAUCCAGCAAUGCCGCGUGCAGGAUGAAGGCCUCGG
rnacentral:rRNA from 1 species